rnacentral:lncRNA from 1 species
GGUGUGUAGAAAUACAGCUAAACCUAGGGUGUGGCUAAACGGGAUGUGUAAUAAUACAUGUGGGGGUCUGGAAGAGAGUUGAGUUUUGUACUAGACUGGUGGGGGUCAGGGAGAGAGUUGAGUUAUGUUGUAGUCUGGUGGGGGUCAGGGAGACGGUUGAGUUAUGUGCUAGACUGGUGGGGGUCAGGGAGAGAGUUGAGUUAUGUACUAGACUGGUGGGGGUCAGGGAGAGAGUUGAGUUAUGUACUAGACUGGUGGGGGUCAGGGAGAGAGUUGAGUUAUGUACUAGACUGUUUGGGGGUCAAGGAGAGAGUUCAAUUACAUACUAGACUGGUGGGGGUUAAUGAGAGUGUUGAGUUACCUACUAGACUGGUGGGGGUUAGGGAGAGAGUUUAGUUAUGAACUAGACUAGUGGGGGUCAGGGAGAGAGUUGAGUUAUGUUGUAGACUGGUGGGGUCAGGGAGAGAGUUGAGUUAUGUACUAGACUGGUGGGGGUCAGGGAGAGUGUUGAGUUAUGUACUAGACUGGUGGGGGUCAUGGAGAGAGUUUAGUUAUAUACUAGACUGGUGGAGGUCAGGGAGAGAGUUGAGUUAUGUACAAGACCGGUGGGGGUCAGGGAGAGAGUUGAGUUAUGUACAAGACUGGUGGGGGUCAGGGAGAGAGUUGAGUUAUGUACUAGACUGGUGAAGAUCUGGCAUCCAGGCGGCCCUGGCAGCAGCAGUGGGUUCUGGGUAAAAUCACUGGGGAAGCCAAUCCAGAAACAAAAGCCAUAUUACAACCUAUGUGUUGUGAUAAUUGCGUUGUUUGCUCUGUAACCUGUUAGUUUAUAUUCCUUGACACUGUGAUAAAAAAGCCUAAAACCGAGAUUAUAAGAAGACACACUUUCACGUCCUGAC